AUGAAUGGGCCAGGCCGGAACCACCUGUUCGUCCCUGGGCCGGUGAACAUCCCGGACCAGGUGAUCCGCGCCAUGAGCCGGCAGAACGAGGACUACCGCUCGCCGGCGAUCCCGGCCCUCACCAAGACCCUGCUGGAGGACGUGAAGAAGAUCUUCAAGACCACCACCGGCACCCCCUUCCUCUUCCCCACAACUGGCACCGGCGCCUGGGAGAGCGCGCUCACCAACACGCUCUCCCCGGGGGACCGGAUCGUGUCCUUCUCGCUGGGGCAGUUCAGCCUGCUGUGGAUCGACCAGCAGCAGCGCCUCGGCUUCAGCGUGGACGUGGUGGAGUCCGACUGGGGCUACGGCGCCGACCUCGGCGCCCUCGAGUCCAAGCUCCGCACUGACUCGCAGCACACCAUCAAGGCCAUCUGCAUCGUCCACAACGAGACCGCCACCGGCGUCACCAACGACCUCCACGCCGUCCGCAAGCUCCUCGGUCCGUCCCAAGCUAAUCUUGCCACCUCUUGCAUGCAUGCAUCGAUCUUGAUUGAUAUGCUUACGUGUGGAUGAUGAUAUGUAUAUAUGAUGCAGAUGCGUACCGGCACCCGGCGCUGCUGCUGGUGGACGGGGUGUCGUCCAUCUGCGCGCUGGACUUCCGCAUGGACGAGUGGGGCGUGGACGUGGCGCUGA
rnacentral:rRNA from 1 species